rnacentral:rRNA from 1 species
AACGAACGCUGGCGGCAGGCUUAACACAUGCAAGUCGAGCGCCCCGCAAGGGGAGCGGCAGACGGGUGAGUAACGCGUGGGAACGUACCUUUUGGUUCGGAACAACUCCGGGAAACUGGAGCUAAUACCGGAUAAGCCCUAACGGGGAAAGAUUUAUCGCCGAAAGAUCGGCCCGCGUCUGAUUAGCUAGUUGGUGAGGUAACGGCUCACCAAGGCGACGAUCAGUAGCUGGUCUGAGAGGAUGAUCAGCCACACUGGGACUGAGACACGGCCCAGACUCCUACGGGAGGCAGCAGUGGGGAAUAUUGGACAAUGGGCGCAAGCCUGAGCCAGCCAUGCCGCGUGAGUGAUGAAGGCCUUAGGGGUGUAAAGCUCUUUUGUCCGGGAAGAUAAUGACUGUACCGGAAGAAUAAGCCCCGGCUAACUUCG